rnacentral:lncRNA from 1 species
AUUUGGGAUUUUAUUAAGAUUUGGUAUAAGGCUAGAAUUUAAGAUUCGAUUAGAAUUUUAUUAAAAUUUGGUUAGAAUUUGGUCUAGGAUUUGAUGAAAGUUUAGAAAUUCUAUUAGGAUUUGGUCUAAGGUUUGAUUAGAAUUUUAUUAGAGUUUUAUUUAAGAUUUAAUUAGGAUUUAAAGUAUGUUUAGGAUUUGGAUAGGAUUGAUUUAAGAUUUCAUUAGGAUUUGGUUUAAGGUUUGAUUAUAAAUGGUUUAGGAUUUCAUUAGGAUU